rnacentral:rRNA from 1 species
AAGCUACUACAGCUUACACAUGCAAGUCGAGGGGCAGCAUGGGCUUAGCUUGCUAAGCCCGAUGGCGACCGGCGCACGGGUGAGUAACACGUAUCCAACCUGCCGAUCACUCCGGUACAGCCUUUCGAAAGAAAGAUUAAUCCCGGAUGGCAUGGCGAUUCCGCAUGGUUUCUCCAUUAAAGGUUUUUUUCCGGUGAUCGAUGGGGAUGCGUUCCAUUAGGCAGUUGGCGGGGUAACGGCCCACCAAACCUACGAUGGAUAGGGGUUCUGAGAGGAAGGUCCCCCACAUUGGAACUGAAACACGGUCCAAACUCCUACGGGAGGCAGCAGUGAGGAAUAUUGGUCAAUGGGCGGAAGCCUGAACCAGCCAAGUAGCGUGAAGGAUGACUGCCCUAUGGGUUGUAAACUUCUUUUAUAAGGGAAUAAUUGCGGGUACGCGCACCUGUUUGCAUGUACCUUAUGAAUAAGGAUCGGCUAACUCCGUGCCAGCAGCCGCGGUAAU